GACGAACGCUGGCGGCGUGCCUAACACAUGCAAGUCGAACGGAGUUUCCAUUUAUGGAUUCUUAGUGGCGAACGGGUGAGUAACGCGUAGACAACCUGCCUUCUAGAUGGGGACAACACCGCGAAAGUGGUGCUAAUACCGAAUGUUGCAGCGAGAAUGCAUAUUCUUGCUGCUAAAGAUGGCCUCUAUUUAUAAGCUAUCGCUAGAAGAUGGGUCUGCGUCUGAUUAGCUAGUUGGUGAGGUAAUGGCUCACCAAGGCGACGAUCAGUAGCCGGUCUGAGAGGAUGAACGGCCACACUGGGACUGAGACACGGCCCAGACUCCUACGGGAGGCAGCAGUGGGGAAUCUUCCGCAAUGGACGAAAGUCUGACGGAGCAACGCCGCGUGAGUGAAGAAGGUUUUCGGAUCGUAAAACUCUGUUUUCAGGGACGAAUGUGCUGAUUGUGAAUAAUGAUCAGUAAUGACGGUACCUGAGUAGAAAGCCACGGCUAACUACGUGCCAGCAGCCGCGGUAAAAC
rnacentral:rRNA from 1 species